CCAGCAGCAUCAGCAUUCCGGCGGCGCGGGAGGCCGCUGUCCUCGCCCGACCCCGGCCCGGUCCAGUCCAGAGCAUGCCCGGCACCAAGUCUGCCCAAGCAAGGUCCGGGUCAUAGCCCAGUCACCUGGAGAAGAUGGAUGCUUCCACAUGAAGUAUGCCAGUUCUGAAUCUUCACCCACAACCCUGUCCGUGCCCUGAUGGAUCAUCCUCAGGAGGUUGUGACUUUACUGUAAACUGAGGACAAAAACUGAGAUGACCAGCCUAUGUCUACACCUGGCCUAUCACCCGUGGCCAGAUGGGAUCUGACAGCGUCUGUCCAACGUGGUCCUGUCUACAGCAAACAAUCCUCCUCAGCCUACCAGUACUACCAGCCUUCCUCAGCCUGGCCCCGGUCAACCUGCCUCAUCUAUGGCUUAGCCACCACUGCUUCUGGAGCCUCCAAUCCUCUCCACUUCCCAUCCCUAUACAUAACCCAGGUCUCUAGAGAUCACAUCUUUCACAUCUGGGUCAUCAUCCCCCAAGGCUUUGAGGGGCCCGGGUAGGAUUCCAGGUGAUCAAGGAUGUCAGAAGAAAGGAAUAAUCCCACAGAGGGAGCAUGAGCACCUGAGACGGGACUUAGGGUCAUGUGCCUUAGCUUCUUAGUGCAAAGGCUGGGCCAUUGGGAUGAUGGAUGCCAAGCAUUCCUUACAAUCCCAUUAUUUGUGAGGUUUCUCAUGAUCGUAGCUAAAAGGUGGAAAAGGGCAAUAAGGCCGAGAAAGCCCUGGUCACUGAAUCCCUAGUGAAGUCACCUCCCCACAGGACACUUAAGGACAACCAUCCUCCUCACUGGCCUCCCACCUCCAGGACAAUUCCCGGACUCCAAGAUGUCCCAGGGAAGGUAACAGAGAUGGGUUGGAGGGCAUGAGAGGACACACUUCCACUGACCA